AGGAGUGUGGUCUAGUGGAAAGAGCCUGGUCUGAGGAAUCAGAGGACCUGGGUUCUAAUUCCAGCUCCCCAC
rnacentral:tRNA from 1 species